GAUGAAGAACGUAGCGAAAUGCGAUAAGUAAUGUGAAUUGCAGAAUUCAGUGAAUCAUCGAAUCUUUGAACGCACAUUGCGCCCGCCAGUAUUCUGGCGGGCAUGCCUGUUCGAGCGUCAUUUCAACCAUCAAGCCCCGGGCUUGUGUUGGGGACCUGCGGCUGCCGCAGGCCCUGAAAUGCAGUGGCGGGCUCGCUGUCACUCCGAGCGUAGUAGUUACAUCUCGCUCUGGGCGUGCUGCGGGUUCCGGCCGUUAAAAGUCUUAUUUACCCAAGGUUGACCUCGGAUCAGGUAGGAAGACCCGCUGAACUUAAGCAUAUCAAUAAGCGGAGGA
rnacentral:misc_RNA from 1 species